GCUCUGGCUCAGUGGUAGAGUGAUUGCCUAGCAUGUAUGGGGCGCUGGGUUUGAUUCUCAGCACUGCA
rnacentral:tRNA from 1 species